rnacentral:rRNA from 1 species
UCGGGUUGUAAAGCACUUUCAGCGAGGAGGAAGGCAUCUCACUUAAUACGUGAGGUGAUUGACGUUACUCGCAGAAGAAGCACCGGCUAACUCCGUGCCAGCAGCCGCGGUAAUACGGAGGGUGCAAGCGUUAAUCGGAAUUACUGGGCGUAAAGCGCACGCAGGCGGUUUGUUAAGUCAGAUGUGAAAUCCCCGAGCUUAACUUGGGAACUGCAUUUGAAACUGGCAAG